AGAGUUUGAUCCUGGCUCAGGAUGAACGCUAGCUACAGGCUUAACACAUGCAAGUCGAGGGGCAGCAUGGUCUUAGCUUGCUAAGGCCGAUGGCGACCGGCGCACGGGUGAGUAACACGUAUCCAACCUGCCGAUAACUCGGGGAUAGCCUUUCGAAAGAAAGAUUAAUACCCGAUAGUAUAAUCAGACCGCAUGGUUUGAUUAUUAAAGAAUUUCGGUUAUCGAUGGGGAUGCGUUCCAUUAGGCAGUUGGUGAGGUAACGGCUCACCAAACCUUCGAUGGAUAGGGGUUCUGAGAGGAAGGUCCCCCACAUUGGAACUGAGACACGGUCCAAACUCCUACGGGAGGCAGCA
rnacentral:rRNA from 1 species